CGGUAGGUUCCAUAACGCGAACGGUUCCUAGCCCAUGAGAAGUGUCAUUACUUUUUUUCUCGUCACUUUGGCUGCAUCCUCUGACGUUUGCAUACUCCUCCCCAUCACUGGCUCGCCAUGGCUUCCAGCACUCUUCUCUGAUGGCUACCGCCCCAUCCCCGCCCUCCGGUGACCAACCUCUUCCCGAGACCCUCUGCCAAACGAGGAGGAGGACGGCGAUGCGUUGCUGGCCUUCCGGCCUCCCAAUUUCGUCGUCACCACCGUUGCAUCCGUCACUCCCCUGGUCAGAUCCGGUGACAUUGAGCACGGGGUGCCUCCCUCCGAUGCCGUCGUGACCUCCCCCUUCUCCACCAAGAACACCCUCCGCGAUGGGAUCUAGCCGGUGACCUCGAGCUUGCCCAGAUGCGGCCAAGAUCCUCCGCUAGCGCGGGCUUGUGCUCUUCUUACUUCCGGUGCUCGUGGUCGCCACACUGGGCCCUCCUUCAGCUCUCUAGCUGGCAACUGAUCUCCCCCACCUCCACCUUCCUCUCACUGGUGCUAGCCUUGGCGCUCCACUUCGACGACGACCAACCUCCCCAACUGGACGGCGUGCGGUGGCCACGCACGCCAUCUGCCCGUCGCCGUGUGCCCCGUCCUUGUGCGAUACGCCGUGUCCCUCCUUCGGCCCCUCUCUUUCUCUCCUCUCCUGCAAGCUCUCCCUCCCAUCGUGAUGCUCUCUUCCCCGCACCACCACCAGCCGGAGGUGGACGGGAUCCGACCGAGGAGGGACUGCCUCGUUCGCACCACACGCGUCCGGAGCUCGACGAGUGGACGACGGCGUCGUAGGGAGGCCAGCCCAACUCUCCACAGCAGAGCAGCAGCAGCACCUCGUCCUCAGGGACUCCGGGUUCUCUACUCUGACGUUGGCAUCACCAUGCUCUGCUCCUACGAGUGCCUCGACAUCCGGGUGGUGCAUUUUGCACGCGAUCGAUGAUCCACUUCCUAGAAUUAGGUGCUGCCUUUUUCCCCAUUAAUUUGGUGGUUAGAUUCGUGAGGCCAGAGCUUCCCCGUUCCUGCCCCGCCGCCCCUCUGCUGUGUGCCGGGUGGGCUGCUCCGGCAGGCAUGAUGAGGUCCUCGAUAGGGAAUGCGGCUGUUUGCUCGGAGAGCUUGGCGUCCUGAUGCUUGGCGUUCAUCCCAUCUCUAUUCUUCUUUAAUUUGCUGCUGCUCGUGAUGACCUUUCUUAUGUUUGUGUUAGUUUCCAUCUAAGAGCUGCUAUCUGUCGGGCUGAACACUUGGUUUCAUGAGAUACCGAUUUAGUCCAUCAUAAAAAAUACUUUUGUUAUUCAAUUAUGAAGCGUUCAUCUAAAAAAAGAUGUAUGAAGAA